UCUUAUUUGCAUUCUUUAAUAAUAAAAUAAUUAUAAUGGAAGUCGGAGAGUUCGCACCACGUAGAAAAAGUUCUAACAGAGAUUAUUGUGCAGUAACAGGUUGUGGGAGCACAGCAGCCAAUAAUUUGAGUGUUAGUUUUCAUCGCUUCCCGAGGCCGAACGAACGCUUUGUAAACAAGCAGAAUAUCUUCGGCAACUCCGAAAAGAUAAAUUUGUUUAGUUCAUGAAAAUUGCUUUAUAUAUCUCAAAUAUCACUCGAAGGACAACAGUGUGUUCACUGCAUUUCCAAAAAAGUCAUUAUUUUUACAUAUUUUUAGUUGCAAAAGGUCAAAUGCAUAACAUGUAAGACCAGCUUUGCAUGUGCAAGAGCAAUGAACAAUAUCGCCACCUGUCGAUAUUUCACCAUUAAUUUCGUGAGGAUGUUUAUCUUUGAUAGCAAUAGUCUGCAAGCAGAUAGCUUCGAAGCUGAUCGUUGUCCAGGAUUAGUACCAGCAUAAUCACAAAUAUUCUUCAUGGAUAUCAUUUUUUGGCCGAAAACUAACUACCAUCC